AAAUUGUUGAAAGGGAAGCACUUGUGACCAGACUUGGGCCGGGCGGCUCAUCAGGGGUUCUCCCCUGUGCACUCCGCCCGGCACAGGCCAGCAUCGGUUCUCGUGGGGGGAUAAGACCGUCGGGAACGUAGCACCCUCCGGGGUGUGUUAUAGCCCGGCGGACGAUACCCCCGUGGGGACCGAGGUUCGCGCUCCGCAAGGAUGCUGGCGUAAUGGUUACCAGUGACCCGUCUUGAAACACGGACCAAGGAGUCGUCCAUUAGAGCGAGCGUUUGGGUGUAAAACCCGCACGCGUAAUGAAAGUGAACGCAGGUGAGAGCUUCGGCGCAUCAUCGACCGAUCCUGAUGUUCUCGGAAGGAUUUGAGUAAGAGUUUUAACGGACGGACCCGAAAGACAGUGAACUAUGCUUGUAUAGGGUGAAGCCAGAGGAAACUCUGGUGGAGGCUCGCAGCGGUUCUGACGUGCAAAUCGAU
rnacentral:rRNA from 1 species